CCCAACGAGAUCGGGAUAACACCUGGAAACAGAUGCUAAUACCGGAUAACAACAGAUGAUGCCUAUCAACUGUUUAAAAGAUGGUUCUGCUAUCACUCUUGGAUGGACCUGCGGUGCAUUAGCUAGUUGGUAGGGUAACGGCCUACCAAGGCGAUGAUGCAUAGCCGAGUUGAGAGACUGAUCGGCCACAUUGGGACUGAGACACGGCCCAAACUCCUACGGGAGGCAGCAGCA
rnacentral:rRNA from 1 species